rnacentral:misc_RNA from 1 species
AACAUCGCGCACCUGCGGGAACCUGCGGAGGGAUCACUAUAGAAAACAUAUACUCCUAGAGGGGAUGGGAGAAAGAAGAUAUACUUCUCCUCUUUUUCCUGUCUUCUCUGGGCAAACAAACAUACAUGACUAAGAAAACAGUAAUCCACAGAGAGAUGAUGGUUUGGUUUGACUUGGAUAAUAACAUGCCUCUCUCUCAACAAAAAUUCCUGUCUGAUAAGUAGCCUACUGUGAUUUGGG